rnacentral:lncRNA from 1 species
CUCUAGAGGGUAUUUGGACCUGAGAAGAUUCUGUAUCCGGGGUUCUUGAGCUACUGCUUGGGCUCACUCCCACACUGUGAAGUGUACUUUCACUUUCAAUAAAUCUCUGCUUUCCUUGCUUUGCAGUGCGUUUUGUUCAAUUCUUUGUUCAAAACCCCAAGAAUCUGGACAACUUGCACUCAAGACCCUCUACGGGUUUGGCGAGCCAGUCUUUCAGUGGCUGUUUUCUAGUAGCUCCUUGGCAAUUGAGGGGAACUGGCUGGGACCACUCUCCAGUGCUGUCUGAAGGCCAAGGAGUGAACAGGGAUGGCUGCCCUGCCUUGAAGAGGGAAGGACUCUUUUCUAUCCUUUCCAGCUAUAGUCCCUGAUCCCUACAUGUGAUGCGGUUGGCAGCGGAAGCUCAUCCUGGGCGAACUCACACACUUUUCAGGAGACUUAAACCUUUUCUUAUGCUAAGUUCUUCCCUUCCCCUACUCAUCUGGCUAAAGGACAGACUAUGCAAAAAAGGUUAUACAAGUCAGAGGGUCUGAGCAUGUCGGAGGUGGUCUGUGUGGGGCAUGGGGUGGGGGGAAAAUUCAUGAAAGGCAAUUUAUUGCCUAAAUUUAAAGGGUUAAAGGGUUGCUUUAAGUGGGAUAGAAAAACCUUAAGGAAAGUUCAUAGUAGGUCCUCAGUGGUGGAGUGUUGUGGGAAGUCAGGGACCCUGAAUGAAGGGACUGGCUGAAGCCAUGGCAGAAGAACAUAAACUGUGAAGAUUUCAUGGACAUUUAUUAGUUCCCCAAAUUAACACUUUUAUAAUUUCUUACGCCUGUCUUUACUGCAAUCUCUGAACAUAAAUUGUGAAGAUUUUAUGGACAUUUAUCACUUCCCCAAUCAAUACUCUUGUGAUUUCCUAUGCCUGUCUUUACUUUAAUCUCUUAAUCCCGUCAUCUUCGUAAGCUGAGGAGGAUGUAAGUCGCCUCAGGACCCUGUGAUGAUUGUGUUAACUGCACAAAUUGUUUGUAGAGCAUGUGUGUUUGAACAGUAUCAAAUCUGGGCACCUUAAGAACAGGAUAACAGCAACGUUCAAGGAACAAGGGAGAUAAUCUUAACGUCUGGCUGCCUAUGGGCCGGGCAGAACAGAGCCAUAUUUCUCUUCUUUCUAAAGCAAAUAGGAGAAAUAUCGCUGAAUUCUUUUUCUCAGCAAGGAACAGCCCUGAGACAGAGAAUGUGUGCCUAGGGGUAGUCCUCCAAAAUGGCCACUCUGGGGACGGCUGUCUUUUAUGGUCGUAGAUAAGGGAAGAAAUAAGCCCCGGACUCCCAUAGUGCUCCCAGGCUUAUUAGGACGAGGAAAUUCCCACCUAAUAAAUUUUGGUCAGACUGGUUGUCUGCUCUCAAACCCUGUCUCCUGAUAAGAUGUUAUCAAUGACAAUGCGUGCCCGAAACUUCACUCGCAAUUUUAAUUUCGCCCUGGUCAUGUGGUCCCGUGAUCUCACCCUGCCUCCAUUUGCCUUGUGAUAUUUUAUUACCUUGUGAAGCAUGUGAUCUCUGUGACCCACACCCUAUUCAUACACUCCCUCCCCUUUUGGAAAUCACUAAUAAAAACUUGCUGGUUUUACGGCUUAGGGGGCAUCACAGAACCUGCCGACAUAUGAUGUCUCCC